CCUACGGGAGGCUGCAGUGGGGAAUAUUGGACAAUGGGGGCAACCCUGAUCCAGCCAUGCCGCGUGUGUGAAGAAGGCCCUCGGGUUGUAAAGCACUUUCAGUGAGGAAGAACGCCUGUUGGUUAAUACCCAUCAGGAAAGACAUCACUCACAGAAGAAGCACCGGCUAACUCCGUGCCAGCAGCCGCGGUAAUACGGAGGGUGCGAGCGUUAAUCGGAAUUACUGGGCGUAAAGCGCGCGUAGGUGGCUUGAUAAGCCGGUUGUGAAAGCCCCGGGCUCAACCUGGGAACGGCAUCCGGAACUGUCAAGCUAGAGUGCAGGAGAGGAAGGUAGAAUUCCCGGUGUAGCGGUGAAAUGCGUAGAGAUCGGGAGGAAUACCAGUGGCGAAGGCGGCCUUCUGGACUGACACUGACACUGAGGUGCGAAAGCGUGGGUAGCAAACAGGAUUAGAUACCCGUGUAGUC
rnacentral:rRNA from 1 species